rnacentral:rRNA from 1 species
AUUGAACGCUGGCGGCAGGCCUAACACAUGCAAGUCGAACGGUAACAGGAAGAAGCUUGCUUCUUUGCUGACGAGUGGCGGACGGGUGAGUAAUGUCUGGGAAACUGCCUGAUGGAGGGGGAUAACUACUGGAAACGGUAGCUAAUACCGCAUAACGUCGCAAGACCAAAGAGGGGGACCUUCGGGCCUCUUGCCAUCGUAUGUGCCCAGAUGGGAUUAGCUUGUUGGUGGGGUAACGGCGCACCAAGGCGACGAUCCCUAGCUGGUCUGAGAGGAUGACCAGCCACACUGGAACUGAGACACGGUCCAGACUCCUACGGGAGGCAGCAGUGGGGAAUAUUGCACAAUGGGCGCAAGCCUGAUGCAGCCAUGCCGCGUGUAUGAAGAAGGCCUUCGGGUUGUAAAGUACUUUCAGCGGGGAGGAAGGGAGUAAAGUUAAUACCUUUGCUCAUUGACGUUACCAGCAGAAGAAGCACCGGCUAACUCCGUG